rnacentral:tRNA from 1 species
AGCUUUAUAUUCUAUUUAAGAUAUAAAAUUGCAAAUUUUAAGAAAUAUUAUUAUAUUAAGGCUU